rnacentral:rRNA from 1 species
AUGGCUCAGGACGAACGCGGGCGGCGUGCUUAACACAUGCAAGUCUACGACGAUCAUGUAGCAAUAUAUGGUUGGAGUGGCGCACUGGUGCGUAACGCGUAUGCAACCUGCCCUUCGGUCGGGGACAACACUUCCAACGAGGUGCUAAUACCCGAUGACACAUCCGGAUCACCUGGUCCGACUGUCAAAGCUUCGGCGCCGAAGGAUGGGCAUGCGUCUGAUUAGGUAGUUGGUGGGGUAACGGCCCACCAAGCCAACGAUCAGUAGCUGGUCUGAGAGGAUGAUCAGCCACACUGGAACUGAGACACGGUCCAGACUCCUACGGGAGGCAGCAGUGAGGAAUAUUGCUCAAUGGGCGAAAGCCUGAAGCAGCAACGCCGCGUGCGGGAUGAAGGCCUUUUAGGUUGUAAACCGCUGUAGAAGGGAAAAAACAUCCCGAUUUAUCGGGAUUGAUGGUACCCUUAAAGUAAGCCUCGGCUAACUACGUGCCAGCAGCCGCGGUAAUACGUAGGAGGCAAGCGUUGUCCGGAUUCACUGGGUGUAAAGGGUCCGCAGGCGGGUAAUCAAGUCGAUGGUGAAAUCCUUCCGCUCAACGGAAGAACUGCCGUCGAUACUGGUUAUCUUGAGUACAGAAGAGGGUGAUGGAAUUCCAGGUGUAGCGGUGAAAUGCGUAGAUAUCUGGAAGAACACCGGUUGCGAAGGCUGUUGCCUGGUCUGUUACUGACGCUCAUGGACGAAAGCGUGGGGAUCAAACAGGAUUAGAUACCCUGGUAGUCCACGCCGUAAACGAUGGAUACUCGGUGUCGGCCCGUAAGGGUCGGUGCCUAAGUUAACGCAGUAAGUAUCCCACCUGGGAAGUACGAU